UACGUAGGGGGCGAGCGUUUGUCCGGAUUUAUUGGGCGUAAAAGGCUUGUAGGUGGCCACGUCAAGUCGGAUGUGAAAUCUCCCGGCUCAACUGGGAGGGGUCAUUCGAUACUGGCGGGCUCGAGGCCGGUAGGGGGAAGCGGAAUUCCCGGUGUAGUGGUGGAAUGCGUAGAUAUCGGGAGGAACACCAGUGGCGAAGGCGACUACCUGGCCUGUUCUUGACGCUGAGGCGCGAAAGCUAGGGGAGCAAACGGG
rnacentral:rRNA from 1 species